GCCGACGUGGCGCAAUUGGUCAGCGCGUCAGACUUUUAAUCUGAAUGUUGCGAGUUCGAGUCUCGCCGUUGGCG